UACGAAGGGGCUAGCGUUGCUCGGAAUCACUGGGCGUAAAGGGUGCGUAGGCGGGUCUUUAAGUCAGGGGUGAAAUCCUGGAGCUCAACUCCAGAACUGCCUUUGAUACUGAAGAUCUUGAGUUCGGGAGAGGUGAGUGGAACUGCGAGUGUAGAGGUGAAAUUCGUAGAUAUUCGCAAGAACACCUGAGGCGAAGGCGGGCUACUGGGCUGAUACUGACGCUGAUGCGCGAAAGCCAGGGGAGCAAACGGG
rnacentral:rRNA from 1 species